AAAAACAUGUCUUCUUGAUUAUAUUUGGAAGUCUGUCCUGCUCACUGAUUAAAUUUUAAAGAGCCGCGGUAUUUUGACCGUGCAAAGGUAGCAUAAUCAUUAGCCUCUUAAUUAGAGGCUGGUAUGAAUGGUUUGACGAGAAAUUGACUGUCUCUUAAUAGAUAUUAAAAUUUAACUUUUAAGUCAAAAGGCUUAAAUUUUCCUCAUGGACGAGAAGACCCUAUAGAGCUUUACAUAUUAUUUUUAUAUAUUUUUUGGAUUUUCUUCUUAUAUAAAAUGUUGAUGUUUUGUUGGGGUGACAUGAAGAAUAAAUAAACUCUUCAUUAUAAAAUCAUUAAUUUAUGUUUUGUUGAUCCAUAAUUUAUGAUCAUAAGAUUAAGUUACCUUAGGGAUAACAGCGUAAUCAUUUUUGAGAGUUCUUAUCAACAAGAUGGAUUGCGACCUCGAUGUUGGAUUAAGAUAAAUUUUGGGUGCAGAAGCUCAUUAAUUAGGUCUGUUCGACCUUUAAAUUCUUACGU
rnacentral:rRNA from 1 species